rnacentral:rRNA from 1 species
UACGCUGGCGGCACGCCUAACACAUGCAAGUCGAACGAAGUAGCAAUACUUAGUGGCAGACGGGUGAGUAACAUGUAGGUAUCUGCCCUUUGGCCUGGAAUAACACGAGGAAACUUGUGCUAAUACUGGAUAAGUCUUUACGGAGAAAGCUUUAUGCACCAUUGGAUGAGCCUGCACUUGAUUAGUUUGUUGGUAGGGUAAUGGCCUACCAAGACUGUGAUCAAUAGCUGAUUUGAGAGGAUGAUCAGCCACAUUGGGACUGAGACACGGCCCAAACUCCUACGGGAGGCAGCAGUGGGGAAUCUUGCACAAUGGAGGAAACUCUGAUGCAGCGAUGCCGCGUGAGUGAAGAAGGCCCUUGGGUUGUAAAGCUCUUUCGUCGGGGAAGAAAAUGACUGUACCCGAAUAAGAAGGUCCGGCUAACUUCGUGCCAGCAGCCGCGGUAAUACGAAGGGACCUAGCGUAGUUCGGAAUUACUGGGCUUAAAGAGUUCGUAGGUGGUUGAAAAAGUUGGUGGUGAAAUCCCAGAGCUUAACUCUGGAACUGCCAUCAAAACUUUUCAGCUAGAGUUUGAUAGAGGAAAGCAGAAUUUCUAGUGUAGAGGUGAAAUUCGUAGAUAUUAGAAAGAAUACCAAUUGCGAAGGCAGCUUUCUGGAUCAUUACUGACACUGAGGAACGAAAGCAUGGGUAGCGAAGAGGAUUAGAUACCCUCGUAGUCCAUGCCGUAAACGAUGUGUGUUAGACGUUGGAAAUUUAUUUUCAGUGUCGCAGCGAAAGCAAUAAACACACCGCCUGGGGAGUACGACCGCAAGGUUAAAA